GCGUAAUGGACGCAGAUGAAGUCGCCGUGGUAUUAACUGGGUUCGGACCUUUCAGACAGUACUUAGUAAAUCCAAGUUGGCAGGCAGCUCAGGGUUUGGGGAAGGUCAGACUGGGAGAGAACAUUAAUAUCUACAUUAAAGAGGUACCAGUGAGCUACACCAAAUCACAGCAGGUCAUAGUUGGCAUGUGGGAAACUGUUAACCCAAAGUUUGCCAUACACCUUGGAAUAGCCCCGGGUUCCAGAGGCAUCUCUCUGGAGCAGACAGGCAAGAACCAUGGUUACAGUGAUAGAGAUGUGUGUGGCUUUUGUCCUGUCAAUCAUUGCUGUGUUGAAGGAGGACCAGACAGACUAGACUCCAUCAUAGACAUGAGGUCCCUCUCCAAGGACCUCAAACAAAUGGGUCUGGAUGUCAUCUACUCAAGGGAUGCAGGAAGGUACCUGUGUGAUUUUGUGUAUUACUGCUCUCUGUACCAUGGCCAUGGGAGGGCAGCCUUCAUCCACGUGCCAGCCUCAGGCAGCCUGGCCACUCCUGACAGACUGGUGCCCCUGCUGCAGACUGUCAUUCAGGCCAUGCUCAACCAGCUGGAGGCCCUACAGACAGCACAAGACCACAUGACAACUGUCUCCAAGACUCCCGAAGACCCAACCAUGGCUACCUCAGGCAUAGUGCACACAGGAGAUGACCCAUGACCGGUGUGAGUUAGAUCAUGCCGCCCUUAUUGUUACUAUUCAUACUGUAUCAAUGUGUUGUAAACAGAAAGUCAUUCUGCUAAAUAUACAAUAAUGGAAUACAGUCAGGGUAUGUUGAGAUAAGCAAUCAGUCAUGACAAAAAGUCAUCUUUCUCAUUCACGUUUUUAUUCAAAUUUUAAGAAAAAAAGAAAAAUACAAGAAAUUCUCAUAGAUACACAUUAAGAGAAUGGCAUGUCAAAAAUACACCAUCUCAACUAUACGUGUGAAAAACCAGGAGGCCUCAGAUACAGAACUUGCAAAAAGACAGAGUCUAGACAAGCUGUUUAACCAAAUCUAUUUGCCAAUCAUUGAAAUGACACAGAGAUUCAGAUUUUGUGAAAGUAAAAGUAAAUAAAAACUACGUAAAAUCUUCUCAGUAGAUCAAGGCCCCUUUUUGAAGUUGUCGGAAUGCAAAGCAGAACAACAGUGCCUGAAAAAUUAUACUGGUAAACCUCAAGCUCAUUAUUGCGAUUUGAUUGCAUGGAUGCAUCUUCUAUAAACCUGAGGUUUGCAUAUAGAACAUUCUGAAGAAAAUACAAUUAAAAUUAUAUUAAUGAUUAUUGAAAUGCAACCUUUUCAGUCAAUCUUAUCUCCAUGUUUGCAAAUUGGCAAUGCAAAAAGAAACAAUUUCUCUACUGUAAACAACUCUUCUUAAAACUCUAGUCAUGCUAUUUACUCUCUGCCAUGACUACCCGUAAUCUACUGGACAUGUCUGUCCUAUUUAUGUCCAUGUAUCUACUUGAGUUGUGGUUAUAAUAGGUAUGUAACCUUCUGGUAACUAAGGAACCCAGACAGCAUUCCAAGAAAACAGAUAAUCACUGCGCAACAGGCCAACCCUUUAACCAAUUUUGAUAACUGAAAAAAAGAAGAAAUAAAUAUCACAUAUCUCUAUCUUUUAUCAUUACAGACACCAACACUUGAAACACUACAUCUAAAUGUGAAACACUCCCAUCCAUUAAACUGUACUCAACAACAGAAGCACAGGGACCUUGUUAAAAAGGUGAUCUGAAUUAUUAAAAAAAAAUCUGGUAGUAUAUAUAUAUAUAUAGUAUAGUAUAUAUAUAUAUAUAUAUAUAUAUAUAUAUAUAUAUAUAUAUAUAUAUAUAUAUAUAAAGGCGUUUGUUUCUGCCAAUGUGCCAUUCAUCCAACCAAGUCUCUUUUGCUGCACUCAUCCCCCCCAAUGGAUUUAAAGCCUAAAAAAAGUAUAACUUCAGAAUAUUGAACACUUAAGCCUUCCAGGUUUUGUUGAGCUGUGAACCAAAAACCUUUCUCCAUCCCGCUACCAAAAAAAGAUUGUUUCUUAAACAACUGGUAAACAUAACUCAGAAUCAUGUUUAUAUGCCUUCAACUCCACUUGACUUUUUGGUCAAAUCAGAGCUUCCCCUUUCUAUGACCCUUAAUGAAAAAUACCUUUGAUGAAAAUUUGAGGUCUAAAUCCAACCAUGCCAUCUCAACUAUACUUCCAAUGAUAUUGGCCCAGUCUUGAUUGGCCCACCCCCAGAUUGAGACACCAUUUUUGAAGCAGCGCUAUUAUCAGCAGCAGUAGAAUAGAGAAAGAAGAGGGUGCAGUCUCAAAACUAAUCACAAUGAGGAUGAUGAUGAAGAUUACAAUGAAGGGACAUUAACAUCAACUACCUCAACAUCUGAGUCUAUUCAGAUGUUAAGUCUAUUCCAAGCCAAUUGGAAUUAUUUAAAAAAAUCUUAACGGGACAAAAAAGAUUACUACAAUAUUUGAAUGUGGGAGCUUUGUAGGUGUUAUUUAGAAAAGCUAGUCGUUAGGAGCAGGUGGAUAGGAUGGAGAGAUUAGAUGAGGAAGGAGUACAGAUGAACCAACAGUGUCCUGUCUGUCAGAUGCAUGAGGAGGUGGAGCAGCAGCAGACAGCUGUAGAUGUUCUUUCUACAGUUGGUCUGCUUUGAGACAUCCCUCCCAGGACAGAGUAUGUGGUGUCUUAACCUGUUUUGCUUUCAUGUAAGACAAUUACUCCAUAUUGACCUAGUAUCUCGCUAAUGCCGGUUAUUUCUACACUCAACUGCUCCCAGCAACAUAACGGACAAAGCACCUUUUCGUAGUUGUAGCACUGACUUUGAGAAAAUGUAUGGGGAUAUUGAGUGUAGGAGUAUGUGAGUAUGGUUUAUGUUGUCUUCACUAAGAGGGUUUCACAGAAAUAAGUGCCGUCAUUUAUACUUUAGGGGAAAUCAGUACUUUACAUAGAUAUUAGCAACUGACAUUUUUACAAGAAGAAAUGUCUAAGCUGAAACCAGAAGCCAGUGUUGGCAAACAUUCUAUAGGAGUUGUUUCAAUGUCAGUAGUGGUUUAGUUAUCCGGAAUACAGGCUAAAGCCAAACAUCCUCUGAUCUACCUUAUUUUCCAAUAUACAGUACAUUACAACAGCAAAGGAUUUAUGUCUUGCAAAAUGUCUUGAAUGAUUAAAGAUGAUAAAUGCAAUGUUUCCCAUUAAAAACUUUUUUGUUUGUUGCUUAACUCCAAUGUACUGAUUUGUUUUAAAUCUACCUAAAUACAUACAAAAUAAAGAAGAUACCGUUCAGCUUCACCCUUCUUGGCAGCUGUAUGAUCUGAGGAUUUCUUAUUGUGAAAUCAUUGUUUGCGGAGGAGGGGAGAUGGGAUUUCUGCAGGGUGUAGCUACAUAUGAGGACACUGAGGUCCAGACCUCAGUAAUAAAAAAAUACAAUUUACUGUUGAGAGUUAGAAUAGUAGAAUACAUAAGGUGCAAUUUUGAAACUUGGUUGUGCAUCAGCAGUUUUUCUCUUGUUAUAUGUCACUUACUUACAGUCACUCAAUCAGCCCAUGUCCGUUAAAACAUUUUAGAUUGGUAAAUUAGUCUAGUUAGUCUAGCCAGCUAUCUAAACUUAUAGUAAUCAUGGCCAAAUUCCUGACCGGUAACGCAGGAGACAUGCCCAGGGGCCCUGGCCUCCAUUGAUUUUGUUAGUUACUCUCACACAGAAAUCAUAUUAACAUGGCAUAAAUCAUGGCAAAAUGUGUAGAAUUGCAGGAAAUUAGCUCUAAAACGGCAACAAAAAAUAGUUAUGUAUAGCAAACGUAUUUGUUCACCUUUUGUUAAUAAAAUAUUUUUUCUGAUAGACAAAUCCCUCUGUACGUAUUCAAUUAUAGUUUUUAAUCUAAUUGUGUAAUUUAUAGGCUAUGUGUUUGUAGAUCGACUGAGGUGAAUGAAGCUACAGCAACCCAUGUGAUAAUGCUUGUUUUUGCUGUUCUCCAAAUAGCAUUUUACAGUUUAAUUGUAUAGAAAUGCAGUAAAUAAGAUUCAACUUUCUUAAAAUGUCCUUGGCUAUGGCCCUGGAUGUCUGAGGUGGCUGUGUCCUGCUCUCUACCAAUACAUACUGUACUGUGACUUUGUGUAGCCUACUGGAAACACUUCCCAUCACAAUAGUCAUUUGAUGUUAUUCUAAGUUAGCAUUAUUAGGUAACCAGGUUAGCAUGUUAGUGCUCAAACCAUUAGAGUUGGACUUGAGAAAUACAGGCCAGACAACGUCUUUCAUUAAAUCAAACCCAUAACAUAAUCUGUACCAUAUACAUUAUAAUCCUCAUACUUUCAGUUAACUACAAACAUACUUUAUUUUCUAUUUAAAAUAGCAGAAAAUAGCAGAAAAUUGAGUUGAUACAGAAAUCUUUAAGCAUAUGGGACUAGAUAGAAUUAGAACCACCCUAGCUACAUCCCAUCUCCACUCCAACCUAGUGUGUGUGUGGUGUGUAUUGAUAAUGAGGUCUACCCGGAUCCAGAGAACUGUGAGGUUACCUUAUACGGACUAAUGAGAAAAGGUGAGAUGUACUUUUGUUUUCAUACACAUACAUAUAUUUUAAAAGAGUGAGGUAGAUAUAUAUACUUGAAGGGAAAAAAAGAAAAACAUCCCCAGUCAUGACACCAAAGAAAAUACAUAACAAAAUCAAACUUUAUACUGAAUCAUGGGGCCUUUAUACAGUGAUUUAAACUGAUAUCACAAAAGGAAAAUAAAAAAAUAAAUAACAAUCCUACAGAGAAAACCUUCAAAUAAGGAAAAAAGUAUAACCAAGCAACACUUCUUCAAAAGGAGAAGUGCUUCAAAAACACUUUUCAUACUGACACCCCCAGUAAGACCCAUUCCAUUCAUGACAUUGAAAUGUGACCACUUCCCUGGACUUUAACCCAUCCUUAUUUGGUUUACAGAUGCCAUGUUUAAGGAGACAAACAACAUAAACUGUUUUCACUUUGAUCAUAAGAGAAUGAGUAUGACAACAGAAAUGAAUUGAAUGAUAAAGGAGAAUAAGCAGUAAUGCUGCGCUUGAAAGCUAAGACACAAAAAGAGAACCAUGAUUAUGGAUGAGUCUUCUUUGAGGGAAUGGCGAGUGGUUGGGAUAAUUAAGGCAAACGAGACAACCCAAUUAGCCCUAUUAAUUGAGAGGCAGGAAAAUGGAUGGGUUAAAAUACCAGAUGCAGUAGAAAAAAAGAAAAUCCUGUGUAACUAAUCCUGACUUCAAAAGGAGGCACUGGGGGAGGCAGGUAUACUGUACAUUUCAGUGUGGGGCCGGAGGGGAGGGGAGAGGGCACUAUUGGACUUGAAAGAGAGGUGAAACAAGCAGAGGACAGUAAUGAGAAUGUAUGGAGAAAGCAAAACCUUUACUUCGACCUGAGAUUGAGUUGCACCUAGGUGCAGUGCUAGACAACUGGUACAAGAAGGGUGCCAAACGUACAUGCUCACACAAGGAGCUAAGGUGUCCAUUCAAACUAAUAAUAAUAAUAAUAAUAAUAAUAAUAAUAAUAAUAAUAUAGAAAUCUACAAAAAAAGAAUGCAAAGGAAAACAUGUUCAUAAAAAAGAAAAAAGGCAAUGGACAAUAUGUGGUGAUACAGACAACAUUCUGGGGUAAAGAAGAGAGAAAAGUCAUUUUAUAUCUAAAUGAUCAUUUUCUUUGCUUGGAGAAGUAUGACGCAUAAGAAAUGGACUGUAGUGGAGAUCAUAAACUAUUAAACCUGAAGGAUUUCUUAUAUAUAUAUAUAUAUAUAUAUAUAUAUAUAAAACAUCCCCAAAAGAAAAAGAAUACAAUAGCAGCUUCAUUCUGUACAGGUGAACAUCUGAACAGUAUAAAAGUUAUAAAAGUGACAAACCAAUGAUGUGUGUGAAAAUGAUCCUAAGGUCUAACAUACAACUGUAAGACCUUUAUAUAAAUGUUUGAAUUGUACAGAGAGACAAUGACUAGUCUAAAAAAAUACCUGCUGUGUACAAUGCCUCGCAUGCCUUUAGCAGACGUAUGUACGCUCACAAGGUGGAGUUCUGUUGAGUCCUUUAGUUUUCCUUGUAUCAGAACUGAUCCAAUACCUUCCACUUCAGGUUUGUUUCUGUAUGUGUUGCAUUUUUGGCGCCAAGUCCUUUUUACUCAAUGUCUCUGUUGGUGAUGUUGGUAUUUUCAUCUCUCAGAUGACAUACAAUAGAAGAGGAAUCCAAUAAGGGCUCUGAUGUAAACCAGAAAAAAAUAACAGAAGAGAAACAGGCAGAUUCCUUUUACAAUGUGAUUGUAAUUGUGAAGUAGAAAACAAAAUCAACAGGUUAGGAUGCUUGAUUGUGUUUCUCUCCAUGUCCAAUCAAAAGGACAAAUGAAGAGCAAGAGGGAGAAAAUCACUAACUUUGAUUUGGCAAAAAAAUUGGCCGAUUCACAAUAGCCCCCCCUCUGUCAUAUCUACCCAAAUAAUUCCCUCCUACCCAGGAAUAUUUACAGGAAAACCAAUUAUCCUAGUCCAGAGCACAUUAAUGUCUGAAAUGUAUACCAAUGAAAAUAAGUUUGGAAGAGCAGCUAUAUUUUGCUGUCGAGAGAAUCAUGUGUUUGUAUAAAAAUACAGUGCAUUUGGAAAGUAUUCGGCCCUUGACUUUUUCCACAUUUUGUUAUGUUACAGCCUUAUUCUA